rnacentral:rRNA from 1 species
GAUGAACGCUGGCGGCGUGCCUAAUACAUGCAAGUCGAGCGAACGGACGAGAAGCUUGCUUCUCUGAUGUUAGCGGCGGACGGGUGAGUAACACGUGGAUAACCUACCUAUAAGACUGGGAUAACUUCGGGAAACCGGAGCUAAUACCGGAUGAUAUUUUGAACCGCAUGGUUCAAAAGUUAAAGACGGUCUUGCUGUCACUUAUAGAUGGAUCCGCGCUGCAUUAGCUAGUUGGUAAGGUAACGGCUUACCAAGGCAACGAUGCAUAGCCGACCUGAGAGGGUGAUCGGCCACACUGGAACUGAGACACGGUCCAGACUCCUACGGGAGGCAGCAGUAGGGAAUCUUCCGCAAUGGGCGAAAGCCUGACGGAGCAACGCCGCGUGAGCGAUGAAGGUCUUCGGAUCGUAAAACUCUGUUAUUAGGGAAGAACAUAUGUGUAAGUAACUGUGCACAUCUUGACGGUACCUAAUCAGAAAGCCACGGCUAACUACGUG